rnacentral:rRNA from 1 species
AGAGUUUGAUCCUUUCUCAGGAUUAACGCUGGCGGCGUGCCUAAUACAUGCAAGUCGAACGGAAGUACCUUCGGGUACUUUAGAGGCGAACGGGUGAGUAAUACAUAGGUAACCUACCCUUAAGACGAGGAUAGCCAUUGGAAACGAUGGAUAAAACUGGAUAGGAUAUAGAGGAAGAAUCUUUUAUAUUUAAAAGAGAGAUCUGCUUAAGGAGGGGCCUGUGGCGCAUUAGCUAGUUGGUGGGGUAAGGGCCUACCAAGGCGAUGAUGCGUAGCCGGACUGAGAGGUUGAACGGCCACAAUGGAACUGAGAACGGUCCAUACUCCUACGGGAGGCAGCAGUAGGGAAUUUUCGGCAAUGGGGGGAACCCUGACCGAGCAACGCCGCGUGAACGAAGAAGUUAUUCGUAAUGUAAAGUUCUUUUAUCAGGGAAGAAAGAGGAAUUUGACGGUACCUGAGGAAUAAGCUCCGGCUAACUACGUGCCAGCAGCCGCGGUAAUACGUAGGGAGCGAGCGUUAUCCGGAAUUAUUGGGCGUAAAGGGUGCGUAGAUGGCAUAGUAAGUCUUUUGUAAAAAUGCUGGGCUCAACCCAGUAGGGCAAAAGAUACUGCAAAGCUAGAGUAUGACAGAGGCAAGUGGAACUACAUGUGUAGCGGUAAAAUGCGUAAAUAUAUGUAAGAACACCAGUGGCGAAGGCGGCUUGCUGGGUCGAUACUGACAUUGAGGCACGAAAGCGUGGGGAGCAAACAGGAUUAGAUACCCUGGUAGUCCACGCCCUAAACGAUGAGUACUAAGUGUUGGUGAGAAUCAGUGCUGAAGUUAACGCAUUAAGUACUCCGCCUGAGUAGUACGUACGCAAGUAUGAAACUUAAAGGAAUUGACGGGAGCCCGCACAAGCGGUGGAGCAUGUUGUUUAAUUCGACGAUACGCGAAGAACCUUACCAGGUCUUGACAUAGCACGCGAAGGCGUAGAGAUACGUUGGAGGAUAGCGUGCAUACAGGUGGUGCAUGGUUGUCGUCAGCUCGUGUCGUGAGAUGUUGGGUUAAGUCCCGCAACGAGCGCAACCCUUAUUUCUAGUUACCAGCAGUAAGAUGGGGACUCUAGAGAGACUGCCAUUGAUAAAAUGGAGGAAGGUGGGGAUGACGUCAAAUCAUCAUGCCCUAUAUGACCUGGGCUACAAACGUGCUACAAUGGCUGAAACAAAGAGAAGCGAGCCCGCGAGGGGGAGCGAACCUCAAAAAAGCAGUCUCAGUUCGGAUUGAAGUCUGCAACUCGACUUCAUGAAGAUGGAAUCGCUAGUAAUCGCGAAUCAGAAUGUCGCGGUGAAUACGUUCUCGGGCUUUGCACUCACCGCCCGUCA